AAAAUCGGCCAUACCAUGCUGAAUACGGCGGUUCUCGUCCGAUGAUCGAAGCAAAGCAGCAUUGGGCUAUGUCAGUACUUCGGAGGGAGACCACCUGGGAACACCGAGUGCCGAUGGCA
rnacentral:rRNA from 1 species